UACGUAGGGGGCAAGCGUUGGCCGGAUUUAUUGGGCGUAAAGAGCUCGUAGGCGGCUUGUCACGUCGGGUGUGAAAGCCCGGGGCUUAACCCCGGGUCUGCAUUCGAUACGGGCUGGCUAGAGUUCGGUAGGGGAGACUGGAAUUCCUGGUGUAGCGGUGAAAUGCGCAGAUAUCAGGAGGAACACCGGUGGCGAAGGCGGGUCUCUGGGCCGAUACUGACGCUGAGGAGCGAAAGCGUGGGGAGCGAACAGG
rnacentral:rRNA from 1 species